rnacentral:rRNA from 1 species
AGUGAACGCUGGCGGUAGGCCUAACACAUGCAAGUCGAACGGCAGCACAGUAAGAGCUUGCUCUUACGGGUGGCGAGUGGCGGACGGGUGAGGAAUACAUCGGAAUCUACUUUUUCGUGGGGGAUAACGUAGGGAAACUUACGCUAAUACCGCAUACGACCUACGGGUGAAAGCAGGGGAUCUUCGGACCUUGCGCGAUUGAAUGAGCCGAUGUCGGAUUAGCUAGUUGGCGGGGUAAAGGCCCACCAAGGCGACGAUCCGUAGCUGGUCUGAGAGGAUGGUCGGCCACACUGGAACGGAUACACGGUCCAGACUCCUACGGGAGGCAGCAGUGGGGAAUAUUGGACAAUGGGCGCAAGCCUGAUCCAGCCAUACCGCGUGUGUGAAGAAGGCCUUCGGGUUGUAAAGCCCUUUUUUUGGGAAAGAAAAGCAGCAGGUUAAUACCCCGCUGUUCUGACGGUACCCAGAGAAUAAGCACCGGCUAACUUCGUG